rnacentral:sRNA from 1 species
UAACAGGAAGACCUCCUGCUUUCAAGAGC